rnacentral:rRNA from 1 species
CCUACGGGAGGCAGCAGUGGGGAAUAUUGCACAAUGGGGGAAACCCUGAUGCAGCGACGCCGCGUGAGUGAAGAAGUAUUUCGGUAUGUAAAGCUCUAUCAGCAGGGAAGAAAAUAACGGUACCUGAUGAAGAAGCACCGGCUAACUACGUGCCAGCAGCCGCGGUAAUACGGAGGGGGCAAGCGUUAUCCGGAUUUACUGGGUGUAAAGGGGGCGUAGACGGGAGCACAAGUCUGGAGUGAAAUGUCGGGGCUUAACCCCGGAACUGCUUUUGAAACUGUGCAGCUAGAGUGCAGGAGAGGUAAGUGGAAUUCUUAGUGUAGCGGUGAAAUGCGUAGAUAUUAGGAGGAACACCAGUGGCGAAGGCGGCUUACUGGACUGUAACUGACGUUGAGGCUCGAAAGCGUGGGGAGCAAACAGGAUUAGAUACCCGAGUAGUC